rnacentral:lncRNA from 7 species
GACGUCAGUGGGGAUUGUCAUGCUGACAUAAAGGAGAGCAGAUUUUCUGAAAAUGCCACGUUGGUGUUUAUUUUGCUUUGUUGCAUGAAAUGGCAUGCAGGCCUGUUGCAGGGCUUGGUCUGCUGCCUCUGCAGCAGGGGCAAGGUGUGUCAGGCUGCUGGGCUCCCCGCAGCUGACAGCAUGGGGGACGACGUGCUGCAUGGAGGCCAGUCAGUUGGGACAUGGAGUGGCGAGCCAGCAUUGCCUUGACCUGAUGAACUAGAUCAUCUGGAAACACUUCAGCAGGACAUAUCCAUGCGCGUUGCUGCUUAAUCCCAAGCUAAAAACAAAUGCUGGAAGCCCAGGAGUUGAUCAGUUCCCAUCUGAACAGGGCCCUCUGAAAGAUGCCCAAUGCACGCACAGUACAUCCUGGUUUUCCAGAAGAGUGCCACAGAGUAUUGGAGCCUGCCCAGCUCUAUGCUCCUUGAGUAGAGGUCCAGCAGAUGGAAGGGGUGAGCCAGUUAUCUGUGGUCUUUUAACAGCUCAGGCAGCAGCACAGGUAAGCAACAGCAUUGUGCUGGCUUGGUAAGUGCAGACAGUUCGGUAUUAGGAGUAUCAUACAUCUGUUUCAGUGUUUGGCCCUGCUUUCUUUGCUGCGUGAGCUCCAGCUCAUGUAUGUCUGAUAAUCAGGAUUGUACUUAAAAUCUGAAAAUAUAUAUUAUACACGGGCAUGGAUGUAUUGUGAUGCAUCACACAAACCAUAUAUCAUUUACCUGGCCAGCCAUAAGGCCUAGAACACUAAUCCCUCUAAGUGGUGACCUUACAGACUUCUGAUGUGACUUGUGGCUGGCUGACAGCUGUGCAUGAGAGCAAAACCUCUGCUCUCCCCCUCAAGCACUCCCUAGGAAACCUCCAGCAGCAGGAUGGGUGAGACAAAUGCUCUGUCUCGUAGAAUGGCUUGGGUUGGAAGGGACCUUAAAGAUCACUGAGCUCCAGCUCCCUGCUGUGGCCAGGGUUGCCAACCGCUAGAUCAAGCACCUCGGCUACCUCAUAAGUCUUGGUAAUACAGCUCAGAAAUGGCACUAAUCCCAGCAAGAGAUACACAGUACAAGUAACACUGGUAGCUGUGCGCAGUGAGAUGAACAGCACUGAUCAAAGGCCAUGAGAUAAUGACUGAUAGAGCUGUGCCGCCCUUUUACAGCCAGGAGGAGGGUAACUAUUUAAACUGUUCUCAAGAAGUGAACUUCAGUCCGUAAGGGAAAAUCUUCAAUAAAGUCUUAUAAAAUAAAUCAUCUGUUUAAAGUUUCACACUGCCAUGAAUGAAAGUCUGAAGUCAAUAGCAGAUCUAUUGUUAGAAAGUACUCUACUUUAUAUGCCAUGACAUUUCCUUAUGAUGGUAUACCAGACAACCAUCUUCAAGAAGUCUAUGAGAGCAGAACAUGAGAGCAGUUUAGCUUCUAGUGGAACAUGUCUGAGGCACACUGCUCUAAGAAAAUGCACGUUCACAAGAUGACAUUUUGAAUGUUUGCGUAACCCAUUCACACAGAAGGAGCAUUCAGUAGGAACGUUGUGGCAGGGCUGCUCAGGGUACAAAUCUCAUUUCAGUGCUUCCUUUUGGGACCAGCCCAGUUCUGUUAUGCUCCCCACCUGCCACUGCUGUAUCCAAGCACGGGAGAAGCAGCUCCGGGCUGAGGCUUGGCUCACUGGUAAAGGACAAAAGGCACAUCCCAGCCUGGGUAAGUCCAUCUGGAAAAUAGCUAGAAUAUGACCAGAGAUAAGUAGGUUAAAUGACCAGAACACCAUUAGAGCGUAUGAUCCUUAAUUACUACUUCCAGAACACUUUGAUGUCCUUAGGGAGGGAGCAUAUAAAGUUCAAAAUGAGUGCUUAAUAAGUGAGAUUUUCAAAAGCAUUUAAAUAGCAAAGGAGUUCCAGAGACCGCUAAGUUCCAUGGGGAGCUUUGAAAUUCCCCCUCAAGAUAAUAAUUGUACGUCCCACUAUUUGUUAAAAAGCCUUUCUUCUGCAGCGAUAGCCUGUAUUACGUAUACACAUUCUGUAGUCAUGUUUUUGUUCUCUGACUAACUGAAAGCAUAGCCUCAGUGUAUCUCUCUGCGUGUUGUGCAAUAGCAGAUUUGGAAUUUGCAUUUUUUAGAUUACCAG